rnacentral:misc_RNA from 1 species
UUAAUAUCUCACCAAGUUAUGGGUGGAAGCUCAUAACAAGGUGGAAUUUGGAUGUUUUUGUCUCUGUACAAUCAUCUUAAAGUGAUCGUAUGUGCUUGAGUGUGCUCUGGCAGUUGGGUACCAACGUGCAACAGAUUUUAUCUUUUCGCUUUGGUAUUUAAUUGAAAUCAGGUACCUGAAGCGUAUAUUUGCUGGCUUACAGAUGUUAUGCAUAAUGCAUGUAUGGCUUCUGAUA